CAGAGAAAAGUAAUCAAACACUUAAAGAGCCUCUUGACAAGUUGCUUGUACAGAGAAGCCUGAUCCCAUCAGAUGCCUCCGAAGAUAUUGACAAGGUGGACAACGCUGCAAAGCAUAAACCGAGUAAUGCAAAACCUGUAGACAAGUCAGCAGUUGAUUUAUCCACCUCAGGCCAGGAAACAAACACAUCAACCUUCGACAUUCCAUCUAGUUACAGAAAAUUAGAAAAAAGGAUAGCUGACCUGGAGAAAGAGACACAGAAAUUGAAGUAAAAAGUUAAAGAUUUAGAGGAGCAAAGAGCAAAUACUUCAGUUAUGUCUGCUGGAGUGGAUUCCACACAGGAAGAAGACCCAUAUAAGGAAUUAAAUAGCUUAGUGGCCUUAGUUGCCCAUUUGUCCUGUAAUACUGAAAGAGACGCUAAUUUGAUUAUAAGAAGGUUAUCAUUGCAAGUUUUUUUUUCAAAAAACGAGCUAGUUACCUGUGCCAGGACUGGGAAAAAGACAGUAAAAGCUGGUGAAACUCCAAAACCCGCUCUUAAUUCUGAAAUAAUGGAUUUAUUAGAAAAAGCUUUCUUAUAUAAAUGCCCGAACAUGACAACAGAUGCCUUUCGCAAAAAAAUUGACAAUGCGCUCAAAAUGGAACGCAGAAUAAAAUAAGUGUCGUAAUCUGGUGUUUAAACUGUUUAGAUGGAAUUUAAUUGAAUUGUUGAAUAAUGUCACAGUUUAUGACAGCAGCUGGAAUGCUUAUUUUUUGUUUUUGUUCACGGAUUUAUAGUUAUUGAGCAUUCUAGUUACUAUAGUUACUAUGGUAACACGUACGGUGGCGUGUUGCAUUUGUAGUGUUUCAGAGGAACUAGUGACCCACCAAUAACAUUUCUUGUUGAUAUUUUUGGAGACAUUUUUAAUAUGCAUAUAAACAUUGGUAUUAUGCAUUGAUAAACAUUCAAUAUUUUUGAAAUUUUACGUCGUGUAGUGUUGAGAUUACAAGCACAACGUUA